UACGAAGGGGGCUAGCGUUGCUCGGAAUUACUGGGCGUAAAGCGCACGUAGGCGGCUCUUUAAGUCGGGGGUGAAAUCCUGGAGCUCAACUCCAGAACUGCCUUCGAUACUGUAGAGCUUGAGCUCGGGAGAGGUGAGUGGAACUGCGAGUGUAGAGGUGAAAUUCGUAGAUAUUCGCAAGAACACCAGUGGCGAAGGCGGCUUACUGGUCCGGUUCUGACGCUGAGGCGCGAAAGCGUGGGGAGCAAACAGG
rnacentral:rRNA from 1 species